rnacentral:rRNA from 1 species
GAUGAACGCUGGCGGCGUGCCUAAUACAUGCAAGUCGAGCGAACAGACGAGGAGCUUGCUCCUCUGACGUUAGCGGCGGACGGGUGAGUAACACGUGGAUAACCUACCUAUAAGACUGGGAUAACUUCGGGAAACCGGAGCUAAUACCGGAUAAUAUAUUGAACCGCAUGGUUCAAUAGUGAAAGACGGUUUUGCUGUCACUUAUAGAUGGAUCCGCGCCGCAUUAGCUAGUUGGUAAGGUAACGGCUUACCAAGGCAACGAUGCGUAGCCGACCGGGGGGGGGGUAUGGGCCCACCGGAACCUGAACACCCGCCCACCCCCCUCGGGGGGGCCCGGAGGGGAACUCUGCCCAAUGGGGCGAAACCCUCAGGGAACCACCCCGGGUGGGUAAAAAGGUUUUGGGGCUCGAAAACCUCUUUUUUGAGGAAAAAAAAAAUGUGUAAGUAACUAUCACCUUUUUACGGUUACUUAACAAAAAGGCCCCGCCUACCUCCUG